rnacentral:rRNA from 1 species
UGCAAGUCGAGCGGAUGAAGGGAGCUUGCUCCUGGAUUCAGCGGCGGACGGGUGAGUAAUGCCUAUGAAUCUGCCUGGUAGUGGGGGACAACGUUUCGAAAGGAACGCUAAUACCGCAUACGUCCUACGGGAGAAAGCAGGGGACCUUCGGGCCUUGCGCUAUCAGAUGAGCCUAGGUCGGAUUAGCUAGUUGGUGAGGUAAUGGCUCACCAAGGCGACGAUCCGUAACUGGUCUGAGAGGAUGAUCAGUCACACUGGAACUGAGACACGGUCCAGACUCCUACGGGAGGCAGCAGUGGGGAAUAUUGGACAAUGGGCGAAAGCCUGAUCCAGCCAUGCCGCGUGUGUGAAGAAGGUCUUCGGAUUGUAAAGCACUUUAAGUUGGGAGGAAGGGUUGUAGAUUAAUACUCUGCAAUUUUGACGUUACCGACAGAAUAAGCACCGGCUAACUCUGUGCCAGCAGCCGCGGUAAUACAGAGGGUGCAAGCGUUAAUCGGAAUUACUGGGCGUAAAGCGCGCGUAGGUGGUUCGUUAAGUUGGAUGUGAAAUCCCCGGGCUCAACCUGGGAACUGCAUCCAAAACUGGCGAGCUAGAGUAUGGUAGAGGGUGGUGGAAUUUCCUGUGUAGCGGUGAAAUGCGUAGAUAUAGGAAGGAACACCAGUGGCGAAAGCGACCACCUGGACUGAUACUGACACUGAGGUGCGAAAGCGUGGGGAGCAAACAGGAUUAGAUACCCUGGUAGUCCACGCCGUAAACGAUGUCAACUAGCCGUUGGGAGCCUUGAGCUCUUAGUGGCGCAGCUAACGCAUUAAGUUGACCGCCUGGGGAGUACGGGCCGCACGGUUAAAACUCAAAUGAAUUGACGGGGGCCCGCACAAGCGGUGAAGCAUGUGGUUUA